rnacentral:rRNA from 1 species
AGCGUAGACGGCUGUGCAAGUCUGAAGUGAAAGGCAUGGGCUCAACCUGUGGACUGCUUUGGAAACUGUGCAGCUAGAGUGUCGGAGAGGUAAGUGGAAUUCCUAGUGUAGCGGUGAAAUGCGUAGAUAUUAGGAGGAACACCAGUGGCGAAGGCGGCUUACUGGACGAUGACUGACGUUGAGGACUCGAAAGGCGUGGGAGCAAACA